UGUCACUUCUGUGCAUCUCCUAGGCCCAUAGUCUGCUGGCGCCCAACAGGAAAUCUUUUGUUGGUUAGCUAGUGUUCGUUGCUAGCUAUUUUCAGGUUAAAUCUUCGCAACUAUCCUGGGCCUUCUUGGCAUGGCCCAAUUGGUCCUUCCUAUCGUCCUCGAAACAAGGUGGGGAGAGAUGAUACAGGAACAGAAUAUAUGAACUACAGAGGUUCCAAAGGUGCGAAUUAAUAUAUGUAUGAACUCUAUCAUGAAUCAUGAACUAACUAAACAAGGUGAGAAAUAUGAGAACACCAAUACACUCCUUGUUUCAUGGUAGCACUAAUGCACACUGACCCGCUUUUGUUGCAUGUAGCAUCUACUUUUUGCUUGCCCGGGGGCGGGGGGAUGGUGAUCGAACAAACAUGCCUUUCUGCCAUGCACAAUUUUUUAGCUACAAUACAUGACCAUCUUUUACAUAUCUCUGCAUUGUUUCGGUUAGUUCCCCGUACGUGUAAAGGGGUAUCAAAAGGAUCUUCUUGCUCCUGCAAUACGGUUUGAGAAAUGCCAUACCCACUCCCUGCGCAUAGAUAUAUUUUGAGUGCCUCUUUCUUUUCAUGAAUCCUGGCCCUUUAAAUAAGGUUACCUUACCCUGGGGAAGAUAAAAAGACAAAGACUGACCAAAGGAAAUAGAAAGAUGCCCAUUGAUAUCUAAGCUCAUCAUACCUUACUCUUUACUAGUCUUUAAUCUCUUGCUUGCUUAGUUGGGCUGCCGUGAAAUCAAGAUACAGUUGAAAAGUGACUACCUUAUUUGACCGAACCUUUUUACACAACUACAUUUAAAAACACUGUCGAAGCAAAAGCUGUGCAGAACACAAAGCAGCUGUUCUCAUGAUUCUUGAAUCUCUUUGACUUUUUGCACCGUUAUCGAGAGAGCGUUAACCACUCACUUUGAGAUAGUGAUGCAGAAAAAUGACUAGCAUACCUGAAACCAGUUGCAAUGGUUGACAGUGGGCAAUGUUUUAUGGAGUUACUUCCAUUAAAAAAAAAGAAAUAUACUACUUUUACCGAGGUAACUUUCUCAGUGUGGCCAAGUUGCAGCAUUCAAAUCUCAAUUCACAGCAAGUUUUUCAGUUAAAGAAUCUGAUAAAACGUCUUUAUCCAAACCCAAAAUGCUUGCCAGCUUGGGACUAAGGUAUGAAAAAAGCAAGUGCAUUAACAUAUACUAUAAGAGACCAGAUUACCAUUUGUUUUCAGUAUGAUUAGCCGCUUUUUAGUACUGCUAGUGGUCUGCAUAUGUCAUCUAAGCUUGCAUCCUUUUACCUGUUCGGAUGAAUUUUUAAAGCUGGUGCAUGAAGACAAGAACAAGUGGCAACAUUAUUAUUUGUGAACACAUAGGUCCAUAUGAUCUGAUGAUCCUGAGCAGAUCCUACUAUUUAAUUUGUUUCUGUAUUAUUCAAAGAGGAAGGGCAGAGAGAGACAGUCAGACUAUAAUCACUCUGUUCGCUAGGCUGGAGCUGGAGGCUGGAGUGGUAUGAGAGAAAAAUAUUGUUGGCUGGCUGGUGGCUGGAAACUAAUGCUGGAGCGGUAUGAGAGGAAAACACUGUUGGGCUGAAGACUGCUGGAGCUGCCGAACAGAGUGAUUCACAUACCGCUCUGGUGAUUUAUUACUACUUUAGUGGUGAGAAAGAUGCAAGGAGGCACUGUCACCUCUACCUGAAAGCCUCCACAGACCACAGCUCUGGUGGCAACAACCUGUCUGCAUCAGGAGCAGGUGAGCUGAGAUGGAUGCUGCUGCUGGUUCCAAGUAGCUUUCUUGAUAUAGUGCGAUCAGUGAAGAAGACCCGUAUGCAGUAGCACUAGCUUGUGCACUGCAUGUACUCCAGCUGGGAGAUCCACAGUCCACAGUGCAGAGGUGGUGUGGUUUCUCCCCGAAAAUUUCGGCUGCGAGAGUCCAAGUGCCACCCACAUGGGGAUGGAGGGGGUGGGGUUUGGCUGGGCGUUCCCCUACUAUUCCCAUCUCCAUGUCCUGCUGCUGCGUGCUGCCCUGCCCCCAGUGACCUGACCUCGAGUCCGUGACGGACCCACAGGCAACGCUAUAGCUUGGAGCUAUAGCGUUGAUCGAUCUGGUAGCUGUCAUGCAGGGCAAUGGCAAUGGGUUGCCAUGGCUGCCUUCUCGGCCGAGACAGUAGUAGUGUCUGAGUGCAUCGUUGAUGAGUACAGUAGUAUGUAGCAAAAAUCAAAUCCGGUGAUUUUCAAGGGAAUCGAUGGAUGAAACCGUGCUA